rnacentral:miRNA from 1 species
CCAGGCUCUUUCCUCUACGCUCCUAGCUAGAAGCGUAGAUCUUUCCUCUACGCUCCUAGCUAGGAGCGUAGAGGAAAGAGCCUGGGA